CUGUACCUCUGUGUCCCCAGGGCAUAGGAUAUCCAUUCCCAUUGGGAUGCUCAUGGCCAUCAGGAUUCCCUUAGCCACCAGACCACCUGUACCCAUUAGGAUGCCCAUGCCAGCCAGGAUACCUAUUGAGAUAACCAAAGCCAUUGUGUUACCAAUGGCCACCAGGCCACCCAUACCCCUUGGGAUGCCCAUGCACAUCAGAAUACCCAAUCCCAUUGGGAUGCCCACACCCACCAGCACAUUCAUGCCCACUAGGAUGCCUAACAUUCGCCACCUGUUAGUGCCAUGGGGAUGGCACCCCAUCAGCAAGAACAGCUGCCACAUCCCUGCCAUGGGGCACACAGCGUGCUGAUCCCUCGCUGUCAUCCAUAUUCCUCAGCACCCUUCUUUACUUCCACUCACCCUUUGCCGUCAUAUCCCACACACAGCAGGGGCAGCAGAGGCAGCACGGGGAGGUUGGGCUAUGGAGAUGGCUGCCUGCCUCUUCCCACUUCCCCAGCACACUUCAGGGCCAGCGAGCCUUCCGUGGACAGUGCAGUUCUGUUUUGCAUCACUGCUUUGAAAAACCCUUGGAGAGAGCAGUGAUUUAUGAGAGGUUUUCUUGUACGAGGGGAAAUAAACCUCUGACCAGACCCGGCUGAAAUCCACACUGCUUAAUUUUCUGUGGAAUCAGGAUUUUACCCCUAUCUGAGGAUUUUGCUUCUUUCCAAGAAAAACAAGCAGUGCCGCUCUCACAAGCAGCCGCGUUCUCUCCGGUGUGGUGCAGGGCCGGCUGGGCACGGCUCCCUCCUCCGCCCCAUCCCAACCCCACGGGUCACAAAUCACAGCAGUUCCUACCGGCGCUGAAGCGAGAACAUCUGCUAGGAAAGUCAACAGUCAUUAAUUAGCUUUUAACUGGGAGAUAGAGAAGCGGGAGAGAGGCACGGACCCCUUUAAUGAGAAUAAAAGGUGUUUAAGCUUAGAGGAGCGCAGGAGCACCGUAGUUACUUUGUAAUAUGAUAAGAGGCUGGGAAUUUAAACCAGCAACUGAGUGUUCUGGGAGGGCAUUUUGGGUGCAGGAGCACAUCCCAUAGCAAUGAAUCCUAGGAGGGAACAGUGCUGGAUAGCUUCAAUGCCCAGAGCUGGAGGUGGGAGCGAGGAGAAUGUAUCCCAGGUGUGCCCAGCAGGGAGCUGAGCCAGGUGCUGCUGAGUUGGGGUGGGAGGAGAGAAAAGGUGGUGGCACCCAGGUCAGCAUCCCAGCACACGUGGGACAGCUGGUCCCCAUCAGAGCAGGUGGGCUGGGAAAGGUGAGCCUAUAAAAAAGGCAGAAGUGGAACCCAAACAACAGGUAGUAAGGGGAUGGUGGAUGGGCCUCAUGCUUGCUCUCCCCUCCCUCCCCAAGCCUGGCUCUGGGUAAUGUGAUGCCAAACAAUGAGAAAGCAGCGCUGACAGCACCAGGGGGAAGGAGGAGGGCUGCUUAUUGGAGGGCAAUCCACUGACAGCAGCUGUAGAAACGCUUCGUUGUUAUCACCUGGGUACAACGGGGCUCUCCACUGUCCCUGAGAGCUGCAGCCAGUUGGAAAGCAACCUCUGUGCUCCUAUACCCUGCUGGGGUGCAGGCAGGUCGCGUCAUGCCGCGUGAUAAGAUCCAAAUGCAGCCAUGCUGCGCAGAACCUGCUCCACCCGCCAGGUGAUGGAUGUUGCUCCCUGCCCAUGAAUCACGCCCAUGGUUGUGUAAGACUCCCUUUCAUUAGAGACCACAUGAAAGCCAAAACAAUCCCAGGCUAUCAGGCACAGAAACCUUCACAAGGACACCAACAUCCAGCACCGGCACAGGAGAGGAGUGUGGGGCCAGAGCUGCUGGCGUGCCAUAAGGAAGCGAUUGAAGCUUUCACAAUCUGUUUAACCAGUGACAUAUGUUUCCUGCAGGCACGGCGAUGUGCUGCAUGCUGAGGUACGGCCACGCAUCCCCACCAGUCCCUGCAUGCUGCUUACAUUGGGCUGCUCAGGGGGGACAUCAAGAAAAGCACCCAGAGAGGCAAACCUAUCUCAGAACAGCAUGUCCUCACUGGGAUGGGGACAGCUGGAUACCAGGUGGAUGGGAGCACUGGGAAUGUUGUGAGCUGGACAUGCUGGAUUAAACCUUACAGCAGCAGGGUUUGGGUGUUAUUUGGGGUUUGGAAACAUUGUAGAGGUGGAGCAGCUCCUCAUGGUGCUGUGCAAGGGGAACUGUCAGGUCACUGUUGGAGGCAGCAGGAAAGCAGUGCUGCAGCAUCCUGCCCCAGAUUGGGCAUUAUAGCCAUGCAGAGGAUGCAAGAUCCAGGGUGAGCAAUGUGGGGGCCCUGAAGGACACUGGGGCUUCCGCUGCCCCAAAUAGCCUGGACUCCAGCCAGGAUGAACCCAGAGAUGGUUUGGAGAUGGAGGCUGUAAACUUGGUGUGAGAACAUGGAGGAGAAUGGAGUAGAAUCUCCUUUGUGCACUGCAAAUCAGCACUGUUCUCUCUGAGGUUUUGGCCUCAGCCAUGUGCCUGGAGCAUGUUGCAUUGAGGCUGUGCACGGGGGGAGGUAGUGGGGCUGGAGCAGGUGAUCAUCAUCUCCAGCUCCAGCAUAAAAGCUCUGGUUCCUGAGCAGGGCAGCAGCAGCUUCCUGUGCACAGAACAGCACCACAGCCACCUGGAAGGGGUCGGGAGCAGAAGCACUGCUGGGCAGAUUUGGCAGUGAGCUGUGCAGAUAGUUUCCUUUGAUAUUCUUUUAUUCUUUUUUUAUUUUCCUUUCUAUGUCAGCUUUCCUGCCUCAGGCUCCAUUCAGUGUAAAGGCCUCCUGUUACCUGGAAAUGACUGCAGGGUGACAGCAUGGGGGGCAGAGGGGAUGGGAGAAUGAGACUCAGCCCUGCUCUUUGCUUUGACUGAGGGCAGUGGGGGCAGCCCCUGUGCCUGACCCUACUGGAGCCCUGCACCCACAGAGGUGACAGGGGAUUUCUGUGUUGCUGACGUAUUCACCAUCUACUUGUCCAUCCCUGGUGUACUGCAGGGCAGGGGGCAGGUGAAGCUGCACAGCUCCAGGUAAGUACUGAGCUUUGGGUGCAAUGGGGACAGAAGCUUGUGCCCCAGUGCUGAGCUUCUGCUGGUGGUGCAUCCCCGGCAGACCUUGCUUGUUACUCUAUUAAAUUUCCAUUUUGACGUGAAAACAGCUGGUUUCAUGGUACCUCUGACUGUGUUAUUUACACAGUCAUGCACACAAUCCCUGCUGAAAAUCGCAUUACUCAAUGCUUCGGCAGCCCUUUGUCUGCAGGUACUGCCUGGAGGUGAUGCUGUCCCCCAGUCUGAGCAGUGGCACCCAACCAGGCUCAGGCAGGGAGCGACCUACAGAGCUGCUCACCUUCCCAGGUGGGUGAUCAGGGCUGGCAAACCCAUCCUGAAGUGCCCCAUCUCCCCCUGCACAACCCACUGCUGAGCCCCCAGGGCGCGGUGGCUGAUGCACAUCGCGGAGCAGAGACAACCGUUGGCCACACUCAAUGGUGCUUUGUUCUCAGCCCAGGAAGCAAUGAAAAUCCUCCCGCUUUGAAGCCUGAGGAGGCCUUUUUAUUACAUCCAGGGCUCCUGGAACAGGGAACCGUGAGUACUUCCCCAUAGAGCGAUGAAAAGCUCUCCUGCCUGAGACCACAGCAACUCAUUACACGUGGGAGCAGUGAGGCCGGUGAACAUUGCUGGGACAUGGAAGAGCCGUGGUACAAUGCUGUUGACCUCACGCCGUCUGUGCCUGCAGAAAGCCAUCCCAUUUUUGUGGCUGAGAAGCUCCUAAGCAGCAAGGCGGCCCUAAUAAUUCCACUUAAUCUUCCCCCAUAAAUCACUCCUCCCCUCCCCUGCUGUCUAUUGGCAUCUUCUGAAGCUAUUAGCUAAUUUCAAGCCAGGAGUUCACACAUUGCCUGGUCCCAUCCCGUCCCCCUGCAGCACUAAGUAUGCACUCCUGGAGGAAGGCUGCCUGAAGUCACCCUCCUCUGGUGGGGAAGAGGUGAGAGCCCACCCCCAUCAGCCCAGUGGGACAGGGGCAGACCGAUCUGCUCAUCCCUGGUGCCUCAUCCUGGGAUUUACAGCUCCAGUUGGGAUUAACUCUGAAACCUGAUGACAACGCCUGAUGUGUCUUCGGCGCCCGUGUCCCUGCUGCUCACCCCCCAUUUUGCUAAUGAGCUUUGUUCAGCAGUGCAAGAUUUGUCCUUAAAAGCAACUUUGGAGGACUGAGAGGUAAGUGUUUAAAGAUGCAAAGGGGAUAACGAUGUGUGGUGUUCCCACAGGUGUUCUGUGUGCUUUGCUCAAAGCCCCCCAACCCCACUGAGCUGCUGGUGAGUGCAGCCAUGGCAAUGGGUCCCCUCCAGCCCUCGAGGAUGAGUCCUGAUAGGAAGACCAGGACACAGCAAUAUCACACCCUGAGGCAGGUUGGGUUUUGUCUGCCAUUUUCUUAAAAUCAUUUUGAGGCAGGAGUAAUAAAUGCUAAAGAUGCGCACGGAAUUUGAAUAUGAAUGAUAAGAACAGCUGUGUAUAUCUAUUAUGAACGAAUAUAAACAGAAAUGUAUAAACUGAGAUUUUGGGGGCUUUGGGAAGAAUUAGUGCCUUUGUUCCUGGAUUUUUUUCCUAUCUGAGUUUGAACCAAAGCCCAUUAGCCCGGACUUUCCCGCAGCCGCCCCAGCCAGGAGCUUCAUUUCGCUCUGGCUCCGAGCCAUGCUGAAUUCUCCUCAACAGCUCAGUGAGCCCUAAUCCUAACAAAUUUACCCAGAGAAGUGGUUCUCUUAUUACACUGCCUAAUUUGAACGCUUUCCAAGGUUAAUUUCUGCUCCCUCUCCCUCCAAACGUGCCUGCCCCCCCUCUCCCCGUUAGCGCCAGCCCGGGGGGAGCAGCCCCAGACCUUCCCCUCCCGGCCACGAUUGGUUUUAAAUGAGAAAAUAAUGCGAUGUUCGUCCCCGGGUGCGGGGUCUGCCCGCGGGGUUUCCUAAUGCUAAGCCACUUCCUUUGCAAAUUAAUUGCAACUUUUGCUGGGCAAAAAUAGCCCUGGAAGCCCAUUCCCCGCGGGCUCUUCCGCGUGUAAUACUACUCUGUUCAUAAUCUGAUUGCUGUGACUCUUAUUUCUUCUUUUCUCCUCACCAUCCCAGGUAUAAUAGAGUCUGCAAAAGCUUUGCAAUGCCUAUGGGGUACCCUGGUUGUACCAGUGGGAUAUCUCCAUGGUAUCUCUGGAUCACAUCUAUGGUAUCUAUGGGAUGUCCCUAUGGUACCCCGUGGGGCAUCCCAAUGGUAUCCUAUGGGGCAUCCCUAUGGUGUCUACCCUUCUCCCUACACCAUAUGAGCUUUGUUGCCACUGGGACUGUCCUCAGCCCUUCUGACAGACCAGCUCCUCCCCAGCCCUGCCUACCCCCUUCAAAGCAAUGUGACUUUUAUUGCAAUUACUUCUGAACCUUGGUGCUGGGGCCGUGCCAAGGAAAGCAGCAGAAAACAAUGUGAUGGGCCUCGGCAGGCGCGGAAACUCCACCGGCAGAGACUGGCCCUAAAAUAACUUUCAUGCGAUGGUUAUUUAUUCUGGGAGAAAGUUCAUUCAUUCACAAUUCAGAGGGGAGAGACAUCAAUGCACAGGGGCAGUACGAGGGUGCUGUGAGCUCACACCCUGCUGCCACAGCUCUGGGUUUGUUGGAAGGGUACUGGGGUUGUGAUGUCUGAAAUCAGGAGGAGAUCCUGCCCUUCUAGGAGGCAGCUUCCUGCCUCCCGGCCUGGGUUUGGUUGUCAGUUCAAUGGGCUCAGAAUUAACCAAUUGGUGAUGUGAUGCAGUGACCCUUCCUUUUUUCCUUUAAAAUAUACAUGCAUAGGUUUGUGUUUUUUGCAGUUACGAAUGUCAUUCCCCAAUCCACUCAGGAGCCGGCAAUUUUCUGGCUGAGGUGGGAAGCUGCCGACAUCAUGUGAUACAUGUCCCACUUGGUGCCCACUGCUCCCAUUGGCUUGAUGGCAAAGGACACUGCAGAGGAAGGGGAAGGAUGCUCCGUUGGACCAGACCCGGGUUCAUUCUCUACCAGUGACACCCAGGUGACCUUGAGCACUGCUCUUGCUAUGAUGAACCAUCAAGAGAUGGCUGUCCAGACUCUCCUGCCAUCUGCUCUCCUCCAUCUGGGCUGUGCCAUCCUUCAUGCCACCCCCUCUAUCCUCCCUUCCUGGCUGGCUCCACGAGAAUGGCCCUCUCUGGAAGCAAGGGAUUAGGCAGAGUGAGAGAUAUCUCUAAAACAGUCACUAAAACUUGGUUCCCCUCAAUAACCUGCCCACCCUGGGGGAAGCUCUGUGCCCGGAUUGCUCUUACUCAACACAUUGUUCCUCAUUCGUUCUUGCUGCAGGGCUGCACCACUCAACAUCACCCUGCAACAGAGUCCCUGUGCUUUUCCAAGUGCAGGCAGUCUCUCUCCUCUGCUGCCCUCCCCUCCAACUUUAUGGGAAAAUCCCUUUCUGCCUAAAAUCCUCCAGAUGUGCUUUACAGCUCGAGGGGAGUUUGUGGGAAAAGCACGCGGUUGGUUGGAUGGGACAUUUCCUGAGAUGCAGGGCAGCACGUUGGUUCCAUUUUGCAGCAGAACCACAUUGCCCAGCACCAUGACAGCUUAGAUAGCCUGGAUGAAUUUUGUCCUUUACAAAGAACCUGAAAAUGAGAGCUUUUUUCCUUUUUAAUUCACACUGUGUGUUUGGGAAGGGAAGCACAGUAUGUGCUACCCAACAUGAUGCAGCCUGUGGCCCCAUGGUUACCCCAAGGAGCUGGCACAACCCCAACCUUGCAACACUCCCUGCACCUUUGGGAACUGAAUUUAGGGCCAAGCAGUGCCAAGUGCCCCAUUGCCACCCAGGGCUAACAAAGUUCUCCCCAUGGACCGAGCCCAGGGCGCAGCCUCCAAGCGAUUAAUUAGUUGUUAGUGGUGACGACCCAGUGGUCGGUGUAGGAUGCUGGGUAGAGGCUUGAUGUAAAUCGUAGCAAUUUGCUGGCUCUGCCACUCUAAAUCCCGUCUAAUUAUACCAAGGGAAGCAUCUGACAUUAAUUUGUUAUGGUAUUUGUGUGCGGAGCGCUAGACGUUUUGGGGACAAAUGGAAGAGCAGCCUUCAGAUCUUUGCCCUUGUGAGCUGCAAGCGAUGGAACGCAGCCUUCUGCUUACCUGCCCGUGUUGGAAAAUUCACUUAGUUUGGAGGCCUAAAUACUAUCAUUUCUAAGUGCCGUCAUUUCAGGGCUGCAGUUUUAAAGGCUGCACUCAAAUAUCUUUGGUGAAAAGGAAAAAAGAGGGGGGGAUGUUUGUCCUGUGUGAAAAAUGAGAUGGGCAGCAGCAUCACAGUGUUGGCAGCGGAGUGUAGGGUGUGGAGGUGCCCGGACUGGGCUGGGUGCAGAGCGGUGUCAGGUGCACAAGCAGCACAUUGCAGCUCUUUGAGGAUAUUGCUGCUUUGCUAGAUAAGAGAAAUUCAAGGGAUGUGCUAUACAUAGAGUUUCAAAACACUCUUGGCAUCGUCACAGAUCAAAGAGGAAUGGUGCAGGCUGAAUCCCGGAAUAGAAGGCAAAAAGAAGGAAAAAGAUUUGGAAUUUACUGGGGGAAAAAAAAAAAAGAGUAAGUAAGAAAGAAAAUACGCUGCAACCAACAGCACAGGGCUGCUGGACUAAAAAUAGCAAAGAAGGUAUUAGUGUGGCAGUGAGUGCACAGAGCUCUGUGUUUGGGGAGAACCUCCUGCAAAGAGGGGACGUGAAGCACGGGAUGUGGAACACCACCCCAAGAUCAGGGUGAGGUGUUCACACUGCACCUCUGUUCCUACUGCCAUAAAGCAGUAAAGGUAACUUGAUUGCAGGGAGACCGGAGGGCUUGGAGCCGUUCCACGGCACUGCCAUUAAAGAGUUUGGAAUAGGAGUUAUUAAAUUACUGCCAGGUACUGUGGGCUUCUCCUAACAGGGAGACUUCAGCUUGGCUUGGAAACUUCAGCUCUGGUUCAUUCGGGUUAAUUAAAAGAGUUCUGGACAUCUUCCAGGGCUGUCUGUCCCCUCCCCUCCAGGGCUGUGCCAUGUCACUGGGCACCAGGUGGGGUGCCCCACAUGCCUUGGGCAUAAGGGAUGGCAGAGCAUGGGGUCCAGGGCUCGUCCACACAGUGGUGUCCUGAAUGUCACCUACAGUGCCUCUGUGCCACCAGCCACAGGAUGCUCUGGCCCAGAGCUCUGCCCACCUGGGAACCCACAGUCCUAAAUGUCCACAUGGCAGAGGGCUAUGUGCAUUUGUGGUCAGCCCCCAAAAUGGGAGGGGGGGCUGCGACCCACAUUAAGGGCGACAGCAGGGUCCAGAGGUGCUGUCCUGUGCCCACCCCCAGCUAGGUUUUGGGCCCCAUGUGUAUAAAUACUGCUCGCAGAUCCCUUAGUGACUCAACCCCCCGAAACACUUUUUGGACUCGUUUUCCCAGAGAGAGUUUAAUGGGGUUUGUCGUGCCAAAACCCCAAGCUAUGCCUCACUUUCAUCCCCUAAUGCAAGCCAUAUAUCAAGAGACACUAAGGGAGCGGGGAGGCUUUCUGACAGGGGGAUCCUGGGAACAAUCAGCCGAUACCCCCCCCUCCCACAGCCCCCACCCCUCGCUCUGUGCAUUCCUGGUAAUGUAAAUAGAGAAGAGAACAUUUGCAGCCCUCCUCGGACCCAGGAGUGCGUCCGGGGACGGCGCCAGGAGCUCGCAGGCAGUCUGCUCUGUUUGAAAUGUCCAAGUGUCAGCGUCCCCAGGGCCACCCGUGUCCCCAGAGCAUCCCAUGCCCACAGCAUUGAUGGAGGGCAGCAAGUGAGGAGGGGAGGCUGGGAUUCUGACUGUGCACAGUGAGUUUCAGCUCUGCUGGACGAUGCAGGUGAUGUAGGACACUGUGCCAUCCCUUGGCGCUGCUGUCCUUGUCCCCAGGCAAUAGGGACAGAGGGACAGGGGGGUGAUGAGGCUGCUCCUCUCUAUUGCCCCCAUCUUGGGUUGGGAACAUCUAAAUUGGGAAGGUUCUUGCUUGCCCCUUCAGUCUCUACUAGGAGUCAAAAGGAGGACUGCAGCAUCCCCAGCAGAGGCCUUUCCCAUGGCUGCAAUGGGGAGCAGGGAAUGACACUGAACUAACUUUUUCUGAAUGUAAUCUGCCUUAGGAAAUGUCAUCCUGGUCCCACACAGGUGAUUAGGGACACUUUAUUCCUAUGGUCACAUCAACUUUCCAUUGGGACCAGCCCCUUGCCACCAUGUGGCACUGCCCCAGGCAUCCCAUGGGAGGACCUGCAGUGGGGAGGGUGACAUUGGGUGGCCCUGGGGGACUCCGGGGAGCACACAGAGGCUGAGGGCAUCUGUAGGUUUUAUGUGCUGGGCCCAGCCCCGGGGGUUUAUGAGGCAGCCGAUGCAGCCAUAAACCUCACCGGGGGGUCAGAGGUGAAUGCAAGCACUCUUAAGUAGGCAAAAACGGUGGUCUGGGCUGGAAACUGAACUUCUUGUGCCAUAAUCAGAACCAGCGGGGUUAAAUUCCUACGGCUGAAGAGCACGGCCGUAGCCUAAACAUCUCUCCCGUGCUGCUGAGGCUGCCCCAAACAGGAUCCCAGGGAUGGAGCAGGGGCUGCUGCAAUGCACUCAGUGCGGCGCUGGGGCAGACCCACCAAGAAUUCUUUAGGCUGUGGGAAGAUCCCAUUAAAAAUGUCAUUAAGGACAUGGAGAUGUGGCUCUGCACCCAGAUAUCCUCAUGCAGACCGCCUUGGUCCGCCCAUUCAUGUCUGGGGUUGGUAUCAGCGUGGUUCAUUAUGCUCAUAAAUGAUAUGGAGAAGGUAUUGUGUUAGCAAAACUGUUACAUAUUUGGGUUGGGAAAGGCUGGAAGACCUUGCUGCUGUGGGGAUGGAUCGCACAGAGGUAUAUGGUAUUCACCAUGGCCCAUGUGAGAUGAUGCAUCUUGGAUGGACUAAUCAAGAUAAUUCACAGAUAUUGUCCUAAAUUAAUUAUAGGCACUCAGUACAAGCCCAGUGUGUCAGUGCAGACAGCUCAAUUAAGCGCUCCUAUUCAAUGUAUGCGGAUGGUCAAAAGAGCAAAGGGAAGAUUACUGUGGGCUGCGAGUUGGGAACAAAGGGGUGGGGAUGUGGCAGUGCUCAAAUCAGUGCAGCUCCACAGCACGUGGAGUGGGAAUGGUGGGCACACGGCAGCGAGAGGCUGAGGGCCACCAAUGGGUUCUCUGUCCUCCUGGGAGGCUCAGGCCUUAAGUCAAGGUCCUGUCCUGCAGUGCUGCUCUGGGUGGCAUGUCCAGGUGGCACAUCUCACCCCAAGCCCAAAGGUUGCGGUGGGAAAUCCUCAGGCUGAUCUCCCUCCCACAAGGCUACGGCCAGCAUCAUGCAAUCUGUUUUCAUUCCUAUUUCAUGAGAUGUGAAUAAUUGAUGAGGAACACAAAGCGUGGGGGAUAAAAUGAAUACAUAUCUAUGUAUGCACACACAAACACACACAGAUAGCGUUAGGAAGAGCUGAGGCACAGCACUCAGAGGAUGCUGCAGAAUAGUGGUGAUGGCUCAAAGCAGGCACACAGCACUGCCCAUGUUAUGCAUAGGGGCUAUAGGGCUGGGAUGGAGGUACUGGGGUGGGCACACAUAGGCUGCCCUGGGGGACCUCAGCCUGUGCCUGUUGGGAAGGGGUGCCCGUGGGUGUGGGACCAGCCCGUGCUGCCUUACAGCCAUGGGUCAGCUUUUCCCACUUCCCAGAUCUGAUUUAUCGCUUUUUUAAUAAAUGGGCCAUUUCCCAUCCACGUCCCACAGACAAUUGCUAAGGGCCCUGGCACCGCGCCACAAACUCCUUUCAACUUCACAGCAAGUUCAUCAAAGGCCUGGGACGCCAUUUCCCCAAAUAGUAAAAGUGUCAGAGCAGCGGGCGUGCGGGGAAGCCUCGGUGACAGCCAAGUGCUUAAUUAGCGGUAAUGCAGAGUUUAUGGCCCCCACACACACCCUCACCCCUGCCUGGUUGUGGGAAGGGUGCAAGGGGUGAGUCAGGUCCUGAUGACCUGCCGUGUCCCUGGUGGUGUGAUGCUGGAAGGAUGGGGACAUCUCAUGGUGCUGCUGUGGGACAACAAAGAGGUGGUUCCCUGUGUCCCCACAUCCCGCUCAUGUCCCUUUUGGAGACAUAUCACCCAGAGCUGAGCGUGGUGACUUCAGCACUCAGAGGCAGACCAUGGGCAUGAAUGGAGCUAAUGUCAUUCAUUCAUUCAUUCAUUCAUUUAUACAUUUUUUGCACCUCUUUCCCAGCACCACCUAAAACCCACCAGGGUUUUUAAUCACAGCUAUGCCCAGAGCAGCACCCCACUGUCCCUGUCCCUAACCCAACAGGUGGGUGCCAUGUUCAAUCAGCAGUGCCUAUACCAGCGAGGCCAGAACAGAAAACCCAAUGACUGGGAGGUUGCUGGCUCUGCAGCAUCUCCACCAGCUGGGAUGGAGGGUGGCAGUUGGCACAGCCCCACUGGAGCAGGGGACAUGGGGACAUGGUGCUCACAGCUGAGCAUAGCAGGGCUGCCCCACCUGGCCCCCUGCUUCCUGCGUUCCCCCCGCCACCCUCCUCGGCACGGCUGGGGCCUCGCAGCCCCAACCAGGAAACUAUAAAACUUUACAGAGUGCGGCUGGAGAGAAACAGGAAUUGCUCUAGUAACUGCCAGAAGGGCCAGCGUUAGAUUCACAAGAUUUUCCAGGGCUCGGACUCGCCAGGAAGGGAUUUAUCCACCUACAAGGAGUUGUAAAAACUAAAAUUAAAUUCUUCAUCUUAGAAAGGGAGGGGUGGAGAAAGGAGAACAUGGUUGACCUCCCCUCCUGAAUGCUCUGCUGGAGGCUGGAGGGGAUACAGGGCACCUGCUGCACCGCGGGGUCCUGCCCCAUGUAACCCAUGCGAGUGCUGCAGGUCUGGGUGCUGUUUGGGGACUCUGUGCACCAAGUUCCAUCCCGACAGCCUCCUGUUGGUGAAGUGCCCUGCUCCCAGUGCACAGAGGACCAAUGUGCCAAUUUGCAUCAUUUGCCUUUUAUCGGAAUUCUUUUCCCCUGACUGCCUGCCUGCACCAGGUACUGCUGUGAGAGUGUGUCUGGGGGAAAUGCUCUUCUCUCACUCAUUCUGCUUUCCUUUCUAUUUUUUCCCCAUUAGUACCGGUGCAGCUCUUAAAAUAACCGCCUGCUUUAAACCAUGUCUCUUUGUUCCCUGCAGCUGCCCUGACCCCGGGCAGAAAAAGAAGGGCCCCGGUGAGGGAUGCCGGACCCACAAACCAAGGGGACAUGGUGGUAGGGGAUCCCUGCAGCCAGGGGUGCGCCCAUCCUUGUGCUGCCAGUGGGAUGGCCUCCAUUGCCUGCGGGGCGUCGGGGCUGGGCCAGAGCCCAGCUUGGAAGUGUGAAGUCGGAGGCUCUUGCCGUGCCCGGGCACGUCUCCGCUUUGUUUAUUCCUUUGCCUUAUUAUUUGGUUCAACUAUUUAUUCCUGGCUGCCUUUUUCUCACGGUUGCUGUGUUUAUUUAGUGCCACUCGCCAGCAGCCCUCUGGGUUCUUGCUCUGAUGACGAAUGCAGCCCUAACCCCGGUGCUGCGCUGCACUGAGAUUUCCCUACAUCAUGACUUUGUGGGGUGGGACAGCAUUUCAAAGGGACACAGGGCAGGGGACAGCAGCGCACAAGGCAGUGGCCACCCAUGCUCUGUGCAUACUGCCAGUGUGCACCCACACCCGAGGGCCUUGUCACCAGCCUGUGCUGAGCAGAGAAGCCCUCGGAGGAAGGAAUGAAGUUGGAAAAGUGUGAGGGUGAUCAGAGUGUGAUGCUACCACCUGCAUUAGGUGAUGUUCCUCAGGGUCCACAACCCCCACC